CUAGUAACAUCAUCAAAAAUAAUGUGGGCUUAGUCCGGAAUGAUAUAUAAAUAUAUACUUGCUCCUCCUGGUUAGUUACACUUUUCAUUUAAAAUGUUCAUAUUCUGUAAGGCCAGAUCAAUAGCACUACUGGCCUUGCCUCCAUUUCUGUUGCUACCCCCAGUUCCUGGCAGCAGCCUACAGGGAGGUCCACAGGUGGGGCCCAAAGUAGGACUGGGCGUGAGCUAUCUGAAUGAGCACAACCUUGGAUCUGACA
ensembl:snoRNA